GUAAAGAGCUCGUAGGCGGCGUGUCGCGUCUGCUGUGAAAGACCGGGGCUUAACUCCGGUUCUGCAGUGGAUACGGGCAUGCUAGAGGUAGGUAGGGGAGACUGGAAUUCCUGGUGUAGCGGUGAAAUGCGCAGAUAUCAGGAGGAACACCGGUGGCGAAGGCGGGUCUCUGGGCCUUACCUGACGCUGAGGAGCGAAAGCAUGGGGAGCGAACAGGAUUAGAUACCCUGGUAGUCCAUGCCGUAAACGCUGGGCGCUAGGUGUGGGGACUUUCCACGGUUUCCGCGCCGUAGCUAACGCAUUAAGCGCCCCGCCUGGGGAGUACGGCCGCAAGGCUAAAACUCAAAGGAAUUGACGGGGGCCCGCACAAGCGGCGGAGCAUGUUGCUUAAUUCGACGCAACGCGAAGAACCUUACCAAGGUUUGACAUCACCCGUGGACUCGCAGAGAUGUGAGGUCAUUUAGUUGGCGGGUGACAGGUGGUGCAUGGCUAUCGUCAGCUCGUGUCGUGAGAUGUUGGGUUAAGUCCCGCAACGAGCGCAACCCUUGUUCCAUGUUGCCAGCACGUAAUGGUGGGGACUCAUGGGAGACUGCCGGGGUCAACUCGGAGGAAGGUGGGGAUGACGUCAAGUCAUCAUGCCCCUUAUGUCUUGGGCUGCAAACAUGCUACAAUGGCCGGUACAAUGGGCGUGCGAUACCGUAAGGUGGAGCGAAUCCCUAAAAGCCGGUCUCAGUUCGGAUUGGGGUCUGCAACUCGACCCCAUGAAGGUGGAGUCGCUAGUAAUCGCGGAUCAGCAACGCCGCGGUGGAUACGUUCCCGGGCCUUGUACACACCGCCCGUCACGUCAUGAAAGUCGGCAACACCCGAAACUUGCGGCCUAACCCCUUGUGGGAGGGAGCGAGUGAAGGUGGGGCUGGCGAUUGGGACGAAGUCGUAACAAGGUAGCCGUACCGGAAGGUGCGGCUGGAUCACCUCCU
rnacentral:rRNA from 1 species